rnacentral:rRNA from 1 species
CAGUAGCCGCGGGAAUACGAAGGGGGCUAGCGUUGUUCGGAAUUACUGGGCGUAAAGGGCGCGUAGGCGGCCAUUCAAGUUAGAUGUGAAAGCCCUGGGCUCAACCUAGGAAUUGCAUUUGAUACUGUUUGGCUUGAGUUCGGGAGAGGUGAGUGGAAUUCCCAGUGUGGAGGUGAAAUUCGUAGAUAUUGGGAAGAACACCAGUGGCGAAGGCGGCUACCUGGAUUGACACUGACACUGAGGCGCGAGAGCGUGGGGAGCAAACAGGAUUAGAUACCUCUGUAGUCCCUGUCUCUUAUAC